UAUUUACAGGUGAAUUCAGUAUGAAUCUCAAACUUUCAGUAGGCCUCGUGCUGCUCAUUCUGGUUGUUAAUGCAUUCGCAUUUGUCCCUCCACCAUUAAAGAAAAAUGAUGACGACAGCUCUGAAAGUUCGGAAGAUUCCACUGAAGUAAAGAAGAAAGAAGAGGUA
rnacentral:sRNA from 1 species